rnacentral:rRNA from 1 species
AGAGUUUGAUCUUGGCUCAGGAUGAACGCUGGCGGCGUGCCUAAUACAUGCAAGUCGAACGCUUCACUUCGGUGAAGAGUGGCGAACGGGUGAGUAAUACAUAAGUAACCUGGCAUCUACAGGGGGGAUAACUGAUGGAAACGUCAGCUAAGACCGCAUAGGUGUAGAGAUCGCAUGAACUCUAUAUGAAAAGUGCUACGGGACUGGGAGAUGAUGGACUUAUGGCGCAUUAGCUUGUUGGUAGGGUAACGGCCUACCAAGGCGACGAUGCGUAGCCGACCUGAGAGGGUGACCGGCCACACUGGGACUGAGACACGGCCCAGACUCCUACGGGAGGCAGCAGUAGGGAAUUUUCGGCAAUGGGGGAAACCCUGACCGAGCAACGCCGCGUGAAGGAAGAAGUAAUUCGUUAUGUAAACUUCUGUCAUAGAGGAAGAACGGUGGAUAUAGGGAAUGAUAUCCAAGUGACGGUACUCUAUAAGAAAGCCACGGCUAACUACGUGCCAGCAGCCGCGGUAAUACGUAGGUGGCGAGCGUUAUCCGGAAUUAUUGGGCGUAAAGAGGGAGCAGGCGGCACUAAGGGUCUGUGGUGAAAGAUCGAAGCUUAACUUCGGUAAGCCAUGGAAACCGUAGAGCUAGAGUGUGUGAGAGGAUCGUGGAAUUCCAUGUGUAGCGGUGAAAUGCGUAGAUAUAUGGAGGAACACCAGUGGCGAAGGCGACGAUCUGGCGCAUAACUGACGCUCAGUCCCGAAAGCGUGGUGAGCAAAGAGGAUUAGAUACCCUAGUAGUCCACGCCGUAAACC